ensembl:snRNA U6 U6 spliceosomal RNA
GUGCUAAUUUUGGCAGCACACAUACUAGCAUUGGAACAAUCUAGAGAAGAUUAGCAUGGCCCAUAUGCAAGGAUAACAGGCAGAUUUGUGAAGCAUUCUGUAUUUUU